rnacentral:lncRNA from 1 species
AUGGGUCAUACAGGGAGCUGUACCUGAGGGAGCAUCCUGCAGCCGCCGGCGACGUGGAAGAACACAUGCGCAGGCUGAUCGCCAAGGAGUGGCAGGAGCUCAACCGGGAGUGCUUCUCCAGGAGGACCUUCUCUUCCUGCUUGGCGCAGGCCUGCCUGAACGCCGCCAGGAUGGUCAGCGUCAUGUACAUGUAUGACAAGGAGCACAGGCUCCCUGUCCUUGAGGACUACAUGAGGCUGCUGCUGCUUUGAAACCUACUGCUCCAGCCUCCAGCUCAUCCUCAUAGAUGCGAAUCCAUGCAUGCAAGAUGGCAAGUGCGCUAUUAUGCUAUUAUUAAAACAAAGUGUGUUACUAACAACUAGCAGUAUGUGAGAGAUAGAUAUAGAUUAGGGACUAAGGAGUAGACAGGAGAGGAUAGAUUUAAUUAAUCCAGUUUGUACCUGUAUGGCAUAAUGGCAUUUUUUCCUCCUCUGGUUCUCUGCUUUCAUCGUGGACUAUUUCACUAUUACAUAAGUGGGCUACAGUCCUGGUUAAUUAGGAAAGACCUUUCAUAUUGUUUUUUUCGACCAAGACUGCGAAUCCAGGAUGUUAUGUGGUUAUGUACCGAAAAUGUACAUGUGGUUAUGUGAGAAUAUAUAUGUGUGGUUAACUGGUUAUGUACUCGAAAUAUAUAUAAUUAUGUACUCAAAAUAUACAAUAAAUAAACAAAACUCUGUUUUUGUUUUUUUGCAAGGGGUAAAACGGUCCAUAGAGCAAAUAAAUUUUGUUUUGAGGCCAUAAAGCCAAAAUUUGGACACAAUUUUGUUCAUGUCUCCUAUAAGAUUAAUGUGUGUGUAAGUUUGUACUUUCUUCAUGGAAAUAAUAAUUCUGCUUGGUCAAUUUGAAAGUCGAGGAAAGAUCAAUUUUUUUUUUGAAACGAACCGGCAGGAGAGCUGCCUGCUAUAUUAAAAAGAGGAGAGUGCCAAGACAGGCAAAAUACAAACACGAAAAAAAGCAGCACCCGCAGAGGGUGAAAGGAGAAAAAAUAUACACAGGAGUGCCAAUCAAAACUGUAGACGGUGGUGAUUCACGAAAUCGUCCAGGUGCUUUGCUCCUGCCAUGAUCCACACUCUCACCCCCUCCUUGAUCUUUUGGAGAACCCCCAAGUUUGUGGACUCCGCUCGUUGAAAAAUUCUAGCAUUCCUUCCAAAUUUCCCAACAAAUUAGGAUGAUAAUCGACCGGAGGCCUCUCUUGUUUACACUAGGCACGUCUGAUAUGGCUGUCCACCACCUCUCUAGGUUGUCGCUAGGUGGCCAGGCAUUUGGCUGUAAUUCAUGGUUUGCUGUCCAAACGGCGAUUUCACUCCACAGACGUUUCGUGAACCUACAAUCUUUGAAAAGGUGCAAGCCCGUUUCUGCAUGUAGUCUACAUAGAGGGCAGAUCCUUUGGUUUGGCCAAUUUCGUGCUUGUAAUCUGUCAGCAGUCCAAAUUCGGUUUUGUAUGGCAAGCCAGCUGAAGAAUUUGCAUUUAGGCGGCGCCCAUGCCUUCCAAAUAAUAGUUUCAAAAUUAUUGCGGGUUGUGCCUAUAAACUGGGCGUGGUAGGCUGACGAAGCAGAGUAGUCACCAUUUUUCUGGAAUUUCCAUGUGAGGGUAUCUGGCGUCCCUGUUCUCAACGUGAUGCGCCUGGCCUCUUGCCACAGAUGCCUGUACUCAACAAAGUGCUGGGCAGAAAAGCUUGAAUGUUGUAGGCUGAUGUCAUGUAUCCAGUUGUUGUCGAGUAGAGCUUGAUGCAGCGUUCUGUUUUUUUUCCUGGAAAUAGAGUAAAAAUGUGGCACUACAUCACAGGGGCGCUGGCCAUUUAGCCAUGCACUCUUCCAGAAAGACGCUCGUUCUCCAUUUCCAAUUGUGAGCGUUGUGGAAGCCGCAAAGAUUUAGACAACUGCAGCCAUCAAUUUGGACACAAUUUAGGAUGUAUUAUAUAAGACAUAUAUGUCAAUUUGUAUUCGAAGCUAGUGCUUGCAAAAUCUCUCAUGUACUUAAAGGGCGGGAUAUAUCAUAGAAAAAACACACAAGUGGCUCAAGACAAAUAUCGAAGAUCAUUCAAAAUGAAAUAAAUUCAGAAAACACUGUCUCUGGAGGGGAUCUGAUGAUAAUAGCAGAAUUAAUGCUAAGGCUGCUUGGAGUCUGGUCGCUAGGACAAAACAGAAUGGUGGACUUGGGGUUUUGGAUUUGAGAACCCAGAACGAAGCCCUCCUUCUAAAACAGUUACACAAGUUCUUCAAUCGAGCUGAUAUUCCUUGGGUGCAUUUAGUUUGGGAAAAACACUAUAACAAUGGAAAGCUUCCUGGCCAUACUAAGAAGGGGUCCUUCUGGUGGUGGGACGUUUUAAAACUGCUUGACAAGUUUAAAGGCAUGGCAACCCCCCAAAUCAAUGAUGGCGCCACUUGCCUCUUCUGGGAUGAUUGCUGGGCUGGCCAACCCCUCAAGCAGACAUUCCCUGAACUUUUCUCGUUUGCCAAGAAAGCUGAAAUCUCCCUUAAAAAUACCCUUGCUGAAAGUCAGUUCUAUAGGCUCUUUAAUCUUCCUCUCAGCAUCCAGGCCUUUGAUCAGCUUCAGGAGUUACAAGAGUUCUAGCAUAGUUUAAACCCCAGCUCUAAUUUGGAUGUUUGGAGAUACAUUUGGGGAGAUAGCACAUUCUCUCCUAAGCAAGCCUAUAAUCAACUCAUGGGAACAAAUGAAGUUCACCCUAUCUUUAGCUGGAUUUGGAAAUCUUCAUGUCAUUUGGAAAUCUUCAUGUCAGCCGAAACAUAAAGUCUUUUUCUGGCUUGUUCUCCUUGACAGAGUCAGCACCAGGAAUCUUUUAAGAAGGAAGCAGAUGUUUCUUCCUUCAUAUAACUGCGCUCUCUGUAAUGAUGACAUGGAAGAAUAUGUUGAUCAUUUGUUUCUGGACUGCAGAAUCGCCAGAGAUUGUUGGGCGUUGAUUGGAUUAUCAGUAACCAGCUCGCCUGACAUGGUUCAAAAAUUUGAAAAUCUCAGAAACAAAAUUGGUAAGAGAUUCUUCAUAGAGAUAAUUAUCAUUAUGUGCUGGAGUAUCUGGACCAUCCGAAAUGAUGCCGUCUUCAGGGAAGUCCCAGCUUGCAGCCUCAGGUGUUUGGAAAUCUUCAGAAGCACCUUCAAGCAACUCCUUUGGAGAGCGAAGAAAAAAUACUUUCCUGCAAUUGAACUAUGGCUGAGCAAGCUGUAUUCUAGUUUCAAUUUUUUUUCUUUCCUUUUUUGUUCCCUAAUGUUCCUUUCAGUCUGUUCUGUUUUGUUUAUAUCUUGUAAACGCUGGUUUUGUUUCUUUUUAAUAAAAUUCCCAGUAGAGGUCCUCCCGGACCUCUCCUGUUCGCUCAAAAAAGUAUUAUUUGUGACCAAGGGAUCGGCCGCGCGUCAGCAUCAUGUCGUAGGUUAGGUCCAAGAGUGUCACCAUCAUUUGAUUUUUGGAAAAAUAUAUAAUAAACGCGCGCUCUCACUCUCCACCACCACUGACGCUUGCAUUGGCACACCAGAGAGGCAUCACGGAUGUACGAAAGACUUUUCUUGGAUGUGGACGGAGCGGCCGGGAGAUGAUGGCCACCGUCGACAACCUGAAGCGCCUCUGCAUCGAUCACUACUUCGAGGAAGAGAUCCACAGUGCCAUGACCACCACAUCCACAUGCAUGGAUCUCCUCCACAGCCAUGACCUCCUCGAUGCAACCCUCUCCUUCAGGCUCAUGAGAGAGACCGGGCAUCAUGUGCAACACUCGGCAAAAGAAGGGCACCCAGCAAAAUAAAAGUAACCUGACGGCCGCCCCCGCGUACGCUGUUAAAAAAUAUGUAUUUUGCCGAGAGCCGGCAUAAGCACUCAGCGAAGACGCUUGCUUUGCCGAGUGCCGGGAUGUGGCACUCGGCAAAGAGGCCUCUUCACCGUUUGCCGAGUGCAGCUGCCUAGCACUCGGUGAAGUUUUUUUUGUUUUUUGUUUUUUUGACCCAUGUUUUUUAUGAGGCAUUACCACAUUAUUUAAAACUCUAUCUUCAAAUUUGGGACAACUUUGAGUUUUUUUUAAUAUAUUUCUUUAUUUUUCUCCUCUUGUUGAAUUUUUUGGAAUAAUUCAAAUUUGAACUGUAUGUUUUCAUGGAAUAAUCGAAUUUGAUCGUUAUAAAAAUGAUAUUUAUGAUUUUUGGUUUAUGAUGAGGCUGUAUUCAGGAUCUCACAUGAAAUGUCAAGCAUUUUGUUGACCUAACAUGACGAGGUAUUUGCGAGAAAAGUGUUCUUAAAUUAUAUAAAAUCCGAACAAAGUUCAAAAAUCACGAAACUUGUUGAGGCGUCAUGUUAUUGCAUAUAGAGGCUAUGAUAAAAAAUGGAGAAGGUUUCGAGCAAGUUAUGAUGUCGAAUGUCUAAAACUCACACAUGAUCACAUGUGAUCACACUCAUCAUAUGUGUGGUCAUGUUUAGGUUUUAGGCAUUCGACGUGACAAUGUUCUCCAAAUCGUUUAAAAUUUUUAUCAUAGCCUCUACAUACGAUAACAUGAGACUUUGUCAAGAUUCAUGUUUUUUCGGACUUCGUUCACAUUUUAUAUAAUUUUAAAACAUUUAGACCACAAGGCGAUCGUCAUGUUACAUGAACAAGAUGUUUAAAAAUUCAGGCGAGUUCAUGAAUACAGCCUCAAAAUACACUUAAAAAUAUGAAUAUUAUUUUUUGAAACACUAAAUUUCAUUAUUUCAAGCACCUAUAGUUCAAAUUAACUUUUUUGAGAAUAAUGUAAGGAAACAAAAUAAAUUAAAAAAAUUAGGAAGCGAACUCAAACAAGUUUUAAUAUUUGAAAAUAGAGUUAUGAAUAAUGAGGAGAAAAGAUAUUCAUUUUUUAAGAAUUACAAACAACCAUUUUCUCUGGGAUCGCACGUUGGGGCGUCUCAUCCCUCACACUCGCCGUGAGCCGCUUCGAAUUCUUUUUUAUGUAUUGAACUUGUGAACUUGUGGACUAUGAGUUGUGGUUUGUAACAUAUUGUGGAUUUCGGACAAAUUUAGUCUUUUUGGAUAUAAAUUUGUGGUUUGUGAUUAUUUGCUGUUGAAUCGUGGUAUAUAUAUAUAUAUAUAUAUAUGCAUUGUUGUCUACAUGGGGAAACAAAAAAAAUCAGAGGUGGCUUUGCCGAGUGCAAUGGUCAUGGCACUCGGCAAAGAAAAUACCGAAACAAUAUUAAAACAUGUCUUUGCCGAGUGUUGGGAUAGGGCACUCGGCAAAGAAAAUACUGAAAAAAUAUUAAAACAAGUCUUUGCCGAGUGUUGCACUCGGCAAAGAGAGUUUUAAUUUUAAAAAAUAAAAAUCUUUGCCGAGUGUUGCACUCGGCAAAGAGCGUUAAAUCUUUAUCGAGUGUCACUGUGGCACUCGGUAACUCCUUUGCCGAGAGUCCGUAUUUUGGCACUCGGUAAAGCCGGCUUUACCGUUAACAUCUUCGCCGUAAUUCUUUGCCGAGUGCAAUUUUGCCUUUGCCGAGUGUAAUAGACACUCGGCAAAGAAUCAGCCUGCAGUAGUGACUUUAUAUAUAUAUAUAUAUAUAUAUAUAUAGACACACACACACAUUGUGUAGAGAGAAAAUUCAAAAGAAACAAGCUAAUGUUUUCCACAUGUGCAGUUUUGUCUCUAUACUGUCUCAGUAGACAACAUAGAGGCAUGUAUACAAAAAUACAAGUAGGGGCCUCCCUGCUGACCUUUAAAAAAAAAGUAGACAACAUAUAAUAGACCCAGUCAAAAAACCAGAAAUUGAAGUUUUACAAAGAGAUUGCAUGACUCUAAAUAUACAUUAUUACCAAACAAAUAAUGGCUAAAAAACAAAAAACCGUAAUAGACCUCAGUUACAUUGCGAAGAAAAUAUACUGUUGUUCAUGGUUGUAUGACCCCUCUGAAUCAACGUGCAUAUGAAUGCAGAUGACAAUGGCGCCGGCAAGUUCAGCCUUGCUCUCAGCAAGGACACCAUGGGGCUGCUAAGCCUGCAUGACAUGUCGCACCUGGACAUCGGAGAAGAACCAGCACUCCAUGAGGCCAAGGAGUUCUCAAGAAAGCACCUUGCAUCUGCCAUCAGCAACAUGGAGCCAGGCCUUGCGAGGUAUGUGAGGCAGUCACUGGACCACCCCUACCACCUGAGCCUGAUGCAGUACAAGGCAAGGCACCACCUCAGCUACCUGCAGAGCUUGCCCAAUAGGAGCACUACUGCAAUGGAGGAGUUGGCAGUUGCAGAGUUCCAGCUUAACAAAAUGCUGCAUCAGAUGGAAAUGAAAGAGAUCAAAAGGUACAUUAUAUGCAUACAUAUAUAAGCCAUCGGUCGUGUCCUUGCUAGAAAUGCAUAUAUUGACCUGUUUGGCUUAUUAUUUUCUUAACUAAUCGUCAUGUUAAUUAAUUCUAAUAGAAUUGGAGGCUACUUGUUUUUUUUUCUAAGAGUCAAGUAAAAAAGUCUCUUUAAAUAUAUAUGGAUCCUAAUUAUUGUUAGAGAAACCCCAACCCAUGUAUUGCAGAUGGUGGAUGAACCUAGGAUUAGCUCAAGAAGUACCGGUGGCUCGGGACCAGGUCCUCAAAUGGUACACAUGGUCCAUGACUAUACUCCAAGGAUCUUCCUUCUCCAAAUACAGGGUUGAGAUCACAAAGAUUAUCUCGAUUGCCUAUGUUGUGGAUGACAUAUUUGAUCUUGUUGGCACCCUGGAGGAGCUCUCCCUCUUCACCGAGGCAAUCAAAAUGUAAGCUUGGAUAUGCAUGCUUCUUUGCAAAAUAACAAUGCCACAUAUACAAUUACAAUCUGUGAGAUACAGAUAUGUAUAACCUAUAUUUAAAUUUCUGAAUGUAACACGAUUUAUAGGUGGGAUUUGGAAGCUGCUGAUUCACUCCCGUGUUACAUGAGAUCAUGCUACAGAGUUCUUUACACAGCUACAAAUGAGAUGGCAGAUAUGGCUGAGAAGGAGCAUGGGCUGAACCCUGUCGAUCAUCUCAGGAAAGCUGUAAGUUACACGCACAUAUAUAAUAUCUCCAGGAUUUUAUUUGGAUGGUAAAAUCAAUUACAUCAACAUGUUUUCAACCUAUAUGAUUGGAUGGUAAAAUCAAUUACAUCAAAAUGUUUUCAACCUAUAUGAUUCUCAGAAAGAUGUUGUACAUGUAGCUAUAUGUUAUCAAACUAUUUCGAAAUGUAGAUGUAGCUAUAUAUGAUUCCUAGUUACUGAAUCUAGCUUAAUUAAUUACAAGGAUACUGAAUGGAGAAGAAGAUUCAGAAUAUAUAAUGCUUCUACCAUUAUUGUUAAUACACAGAAGAAUUAACUACUACUACUUUUCUGUUGUAAAAAAAAAAUACUACUUUUCUUCUUUUGCAGUGGGCAGUGUUGUUUGAUGGGUUCAUGGUUGAGGCGAAAUGGCUAGCAACCGAUCAGGUCCCUUCUGCAGAUGAGUACCUGAGAAAUGGUGUCAUCACUUCAGGAGUGCCGCUCGCAUUUGUGCACAUACUCUUCCUUCUAGGGCAUCACCAUGCAGUGAGUGGUAAUGCUGCAGAGCUCACCAACAGCAUCCCUCCAGCCAUCACUAGCGCCUCCAAAAUCCUCAGACUCUGGGACGACAUGGGCAGUGCCAAGGUCAGAACGCACAAUUGUAAAAACUUUUGAAAUAACAAAUGUAUAAUUAAGAACUAGUAGCUAGUAGAGUAGCAGUAGGAGAGUGUACAUAUAUACCUUUUCCAAGAUAGGAGGCAGGAGAGAUAAAUCACUAGGUAAUAACAUGCAUGUUGAAAUAUAUAUAUAUAUCGUUUGUGGAUUUAAUUAAUUUGCAGGAUGAAGCACAGGAAGGAUUGGAUGGGUCAUACAGGGAGCUGUACCUGUUGGAGCACCCUGCCGGCGACGUGGAAGAACACAUGCGCAGGCUGAUCGCCAAGGAGUGGCAGGAGCUCAACCGGGAGUGCUUCUCCAGGAGGACCUUCUCGUCCUGCUUCGCGCAGGCCUGCCUGAACGCCGCCAGGAGGAUGGUCAGUGUCAUGUACAUGUAUGACAAGGAGCAGAAGCUCCCCGUCCUUGAG